UGUUUAAGAAGGCGUUACUGCAUACCUGUUACUCUUUUUCAGACUCACUCCCUAAGGUGUCUGGAGAUGAACCGUAUGCCUCAUGUGGAGCACUCUUCACCGCAGGACUUAUCAAGUUUCCAAGACAGACAGACAGACACAGAGACACACACACCCUUUUCAAGAAUUGCAAUGUGAGAAGUGUCAAGUUCCAACCUUUGGAUGGUUAUUCACUGGCUCUGUGGGUUUGAUAAUUUAAUAAUCGCAUGCAUUUACUUAGUUUUGAAUUCAAGGACACAGCAAAUUCUUGCCUUCAGGACUGGAAGCCCAGCCUCUCUGCUUCCACCAAGUGGUGGUAAGUUAUAUUUCAAUGACAUUGUAUUAGAACACCUAGCAGUUAACAUCAAUCUUGUAUGUAUUGGAGGUUCAUUUCAUUCACUGUGCUAACACGCCAUGUGUCAGGAACUA